rnacentral:lncRNA from 1 species
ACUGGCAAGCAAUACCAACAUCCUUUUAUUCCUUAAAUUGUAUCAACUCAAACAGGAAAGUAAAAUUAUCCUUGACUACUUUCCUAAUUCAAAUUAUUCCAAGGAAUGGGCAAAAUGUGUUCACGCAAGAAGGUUUAAGACUCAAGUGGUGACCCAUGGACUUGGAGAAUUGCAAGGCAAGGAGGAAGGUAUAUUUUUUUUACCCAACCAAGAAGGCCUCAGGGCCUUAUGGCCAAGAUGGGCUGUGACCCAAGGAUGUCGCACCCAUGGGUGGCCCAUGCCCAAAGAUGAUGGCCCAAAAGUACCAAGCAUGUGCAGUCCAUAUGCGCAUAGAAUGCGCAUGAGUGCAGCAAGGCCU